AAUUCACCGGUGAAUAAAACGUUCCUCCAGUUUUUAAAUAGCCUUAUUUUUUUCUUUCCCUUUCCCUUUUGUUAAAUUAAUCAUUUAAAUUGGUGGCAUGACUUUUUUUUUUUUCUUUUUUUUAGGGGAAGGUGCUGGGAGCGGGGAGAAGGGAGGAGUGGGUGCCUUGAUAGUUUUCAUUGUGACUUCUGGAGAGUUGGUCUCUUUCAAGUUGUUCACAUCUCAGCAUGUGGAAUUAUUGUGCUUUCUUCCGAUUUGCCACAGAAUUGACAGUAGCCCGACACUAAAACUUAUUUGGGUUUGAUUUGAUUUUUUUAUCUAUGUAUUUCUGACCAGGGUUUUUAAAAAAAAAAAAAAAAAAAAAAAAAAAAAAUUGUGACAAAUUGUCUUCUCAACCCUCAUAUUCCUCCCCUCCUCUGCCCCCAAUACAUUUUUUUAGUUGUCUACUGAAGAAUAAAACCCCCCAUAGGAGGGAGUGACCUUUUAGUGAUCAAGGUAUGUUGGAUUUUUUUAAGUUGUGUGUUACUAUGUUAAUAGCAUGAGGAAGAGACAGGACUUGGGGAGGUGGGGGGUGAAUGAAUUACCCUAGAAAUGCUAUACCUUGAAAUAACUCAAGGGAAAAUAGUUGCUCCCUCACUUGAGCUGCUUUCAAAAUCUUGCUGUGCGUUUUUUUUUUUUUUUUUAAGAAAAGCUUUCCAUAGAGGGGGAAAAAAAAAAAAAAAAAAAAGGAAACCAAGCCAGAAAAAUUUUGAAGGCUUGAUCUUGGCUUCUAUACAAACAGAUGUUGCCUGUCAUUCCGUUGUUAAGCAGGCACCAGAUUGGAGCAAGCAGCAGUUUAAGAGGAACUGCAGCGGAGUUUGGAAAAUGGGAGGGAAAUAUAUGUAUAUAUGAUUUUUUCUAUACUGCACAUAUAUAUUUUCCCCCCCAGAAUUAACUUUACUUAUAACAAGUAUAUUUUAUUUUUUAUUUUAUUUUUGUAUUUGUUUUUUAGUGGGAAAAACAAACCCAAAAUAAAACGGAAAAGCACUAGCAACUCUGACCCAAAUUUUACCAAAACAGCUUCUUUUUUUUUCCACGUAGGUGAACAUGUAUAGAAAAGGGGGUUCUGUUGGAAAAUGCUUAAGGCAUUCUCGGUAAGUGAAUGUUUAUAAUGGACUAGGUCAGGAUUCUGUCGUGGUUUUUCUUUUUUUUCCUGCUGCAAACCCCGUUUCUGAUGGGUUUGCCACUAAAUUCUCUCUGUAAGUUUAAUUGUGAAGGUGGAAGGCCUUUUUGUCGCCUUUCCAAGUUUUAGCAACAUUGUAAGAACAAGAAUCACAUUGUUUAUACAGUAGAAGUUCUAACGAAACAUGGAUGCUCUCCAUAUUGUCGCUCUUUUGUGUGCUGCAUGCGCUCGCGGAUUUAAUCCCCCGGUUUCUUAUGCUUUUUUUUUAUUCCCCCUUCUUUUUAUUUUCCGCUUUCUAAUCGAAUAGUGGCAUGCUCAAGAGAAAACAUGAGGGGGUUUGAGCCGAAAGAGUUAAAGGUUUCUUGGCACCAGAGCAGCAGUUUAGCAACAGAUCAAUUCAUUUAAAUGAAAGAAAUCACCGACCAAGCCAUCUGAUUUUGAAAUUUCGUGUCUUAUACUUCCACUUUGGAACAAAGCUUCCAUUUUCUUCCCCCCCUCCCAUUAAUCUUCACUGCUUCUGUUUAACUCUGUUGCUUUUGAUAGGAACUUUAAGUUAUCAGUCACUUUUUUCUUUUAAAAAAUGUGUAUAUUUAUUUUUUCAUUUGGCAUUUGUACAUGCUGCACUUAGCACUUCUGUAAAUAAUCACCCUUACACCUCAGACCAUCCAAUAACUGUUAUUUAUGGCAGAGUUUUUUUUCCACAUUCUAAUUUUAUAUUUGGAAAUAGUCAAUUUUUGCAUGAUCUAACUUUCAAACUAUAUAAACUAUCUGCCACCCAAGUACUAUGUAAAAUAUCCGCCUGUAUCUAUCUAUCGAUUGCUAUACACAUACUGUAUAAAUACAUCUAUGUGUAGAUAUGUCUGUAACUCAAGAGAUACCUGAAAGAUUAUUUGAUGGUGAGCAAUAUCUUUAUAUACAGAGCUAUUUUAUAUAUACUCAUUGUAUAUUUCUCCAAUAUAUCUGUCUGUCUAUACCCAGAUCUAUUUAUAUUCUUACUGUAUAUGUGUGUAUGUAUGCAUAUACCCACACAGACAGGAAGGAUUAUAUCAUUCAAUAACUAGAUUACUAUAUAUUCAGCAUGUUCCAUUGAGCCAUUUCUUUCACGGCUAUUUAAAGCUUCAAAAGAAUGAAAAGCAAUUUUUUGGUUCAUGUAGCGUAUUUGAUCAUAAAUAUAAGUUCUUAUUUUUGUUGCUAUAUUAAGUAAAAUAAAAUAAAAUAAAAUAAAAGACCUUGGGGGGGGGUUAUUUUGUUUGCUGCCGUCCUCGGUUUAUACAACCUACCAUAAAAAUAGGGUAAUUCCGCUCACAAUAAACAAAUACAUUCGGUGAACGAAUUUGCAGCCCCGCAUUGAAUUUUGAUGGUGGCUUCCACGCUGUGAUGCUGAGUCUGUUCACGGUGGCACUGCAUUAGAAAAAAAAAAAAAAAAAAAAAAAAAGGGCCAUGAUGCUUGGGCAGGAGCAAACUCCUAUCAGCGAAAGCAACGGAAGGGUGGGGACAGGGGAACCUUCUUUUGUUAGGCUAAAAAAAAAAAACCCCAACCUUGAGUGAAGCUUAAAGAGAAAGAAAGAAUAGGAGUGAGCGAGAAAGUGGACAAAAAAUACAAGUAGCAUCCCAUCCCCCUUGCCCCCCACCCCCAGCCACUACAUGACUAGGGUGGAUCACAAAUCUGGACAUUUUAUUGUCUCUUGUUCUUUAACUAGUGUUCCCAGCUGUUUUGUAGGAGAACACCAGGGUGUGGAGCGGAAGGAGCACCCCCAAAAUAUCAGCAAUAUUUCUGUGGGUGUCAUUUUGGUUACAUCACAGCACGCUCCUUCCCCGGCUGUGUUCUUGUGCAAAAUUCAAAUAAUUUUUUUUCCCCUGUUAGCAGCUGUGCAUGGGUUUAAGUCAGUCUUUAACAUUGGGAAAGGAACAAUAAAAUGAAAGGCAAAACCGGCAUCUUAAAACUUGGCAAGGGAAAGCAGCUUGGAAUGGCAGCCAAGAAUCGUGCUGUGGUGCAAAAAGAAUAGCAUCCACGAAACCACCACAAUCAGGGGUUUCUCUUCUUUUACCAAUACCAUCGGCAGAGAGAAAUAAUGAUUUCUAGAAACAGUGUUAAAGAGUCAAAAAAGUUAAAAUGGUUGCUUGAUGAAUCUACUCAGAUGCAGGAUACGUUUGUUGAAGAGUUGGGCCUAGCAAGAUGGCAGCGCAUGUGCAAUAAGUAUUCACAUGAAGUACCACUGCUAAGACAUUUCCCUACACAUCUUCAAAGAACAUACUAAGUUAUGGCAAAAACAGCAAUUGAGAAAUAAGCAGCCCCUCCAUCAACUCAUAAUGCCUCGUGGCACUUGUUGAGACAAGGAAAAGGAAUAACUCCAAUCUCCUACUCAGCAUCACCUCUCUCAGGAAAACAGCCUCUAAUGCUCAAAGCUAGGAUUCUGCCCCAGAUUUUCACAGCUCAAAUGUCUUCUGCACAGUCUCUAACUGUCCUCUUCUUCCAUUAAAACAGAAGGGAAAAAAAGUUGAAAAGCUCAGUGGUAAAAACAAUCAUCAGACCAUUUAUUCUUGAAGGCUUGGAUGUUGCUUGUGCAGCUAUGCUCGAUCUUCAGGAUCAGUUGGGUUUUCCAGUGGUAAAGUAACAGCAAAAGAGCAUGUGGCUAAUAAAUAGACUGAUCACUGAAAUAUACUCAAUGAUUUUUAGUUCUUGAUACAUUCCUGAUUUCUUGAGGGUUUACUUGUGCUCCUUUCAUCAGAUUAGACAUCACCAUCUUCAUAGCCCCAUAUUUUUCUCUGGUAAAUGGACAAUGAUUGCAGUAGAAAGCCACACAUACAAUGGGCCAAAUCCAUCUCUGGUGUAACUAUUUUAGUCAAUGGAAUUGCAUCAGGGUAUGAUUUUGACCCAGUGAUAGUAAAACCAGAUGUUAAGACAGUAAAACAAGAACUGAUCUGCUGGCAGCUUUGAUCCUGCUGACUUUAAUCCUGUUCCAGUGGACUUUUUUUUUUAUGCUAAGAGAAUGUUUGGAGUUAGAUUUAAUCCAUUUCCCAGAAAGCACUAAUGCAAUGGUAUAAAACCAGAAACUUGCUGGUCAAGACAAGAACAAAGAGCUGGAUGUUCAAUAAGCCUUCCUUUGCCUGGAGCAUCUUAGAAAUUGAUGCAAUAUAUGAUGAACACUCAUCUUUGUUUCUGUAAUUUUUCCCUGACAUCAAAUUUCUUUUUUUAUUUACGUUCAAUACUACAUGGGUGAAAGUCACCCAUUGAGCAGAGCACGAGGCCCAUACACCUCAAAAUGGGACUUAGUGCUGCAAAGAUCUUGGGCUGGCCCUCUGCAAAAGGGUGAAUUUUUAUCUCCUGACCAUAGCAAUUACAUAGCCUAUGGCUUCCAGAACCAUUUUUAACCCUCACUGGAAAUGAGUCACCCUUUACCAAGAUUGGAAGCUCAUAGGGGCAGGAAGUGUGUCUGGUGAUAUUUGCCCCUAAUGGUCCAGGUACACCAAUGAUGCCGUAGAAAUAAAAAUAAAGUCAAGUGUCUCGGGCUAAGUGUUUCAUUGUGAGAGCCAGGAUGGGAACUCAAAAGCUGCUGGCUUCCCAUCCUUUGUCCCACACCAGGAGUAGCAUUGACGAUAUAACCUACUUUGAAACACAGCCCAAGACUCAGUUAAGAUUUUGAAGCCACAGAAUAGUUCAUUGCAGUUCACUAUUCAAGUUACUUCAUUUCAUACAAUGGCUUAAAAAGGUCUCAAGCCAGCCUAGUAACUAGUCUGAUUCAAAAGCCACUGACAUGCUUCAGCCCAAAACCUUCAUCAGAAGUCCAAGGAUCAGAUCUUCAGCUGUCACAAUUCUGUUGCUUUCAAUAAUAUUAGGCUGAUUUACACCAGCUGAGGAUUUGCCUGCAUUGAAAAGUUUGGCCAUUUCAGAGUGUGUGGCUUCAUCCCUCACAUUGAUCGCUGAGAUUUUGGACUAAGUUCUGUGCACGUAUCUUCAUGAUUAAGAUGUCAAACAAUUGGAAAGCAAUUCUGGAAACUGCUAAGUAUCAAAUUAAAAGGUUAUUUUUGUACCCACUGUACAUUAUUUCUAUUUGCUUUAACUACUUUGAAAGUGUAAUGGCAGAUAUUCAUGACAGCUAAUCUAUUUUAUGACGUUCUUCUCUCAGGAACAAUUUUGGGGUUUGCCAGUAAGGGUCAUAUUGGGACAGUCCACAGGAACACCUUGGAUUCCUCCGUCAUUGUAUCAGUUUCUGCAGAUUUUUAAGCUUUCAUUUAUUUCAUGUUUUUAGCGGUUAUGGUUGCAAAGAUGACUGUUAAAAUCUGGAACUGAUGCACGGUUUUCUGUAGAUAAAUGGACAAACAGUAGAUCAGACAGGUGUGAAAAUCUUCAGUCAUCUCAGUGAAGAACUCUGAAACAUAAUGACACCAAUUUAAAUGCCAACAUUAAAUAUUUUACUGCCAAUAAUUUUGGCAAAAAAAAUCUAGUUCUUCUGGGAUAGUAGCAAGGCCUUGGGAUUGGAGCUUGAGAGCAGAAUUCUUGGUGGUUCUUGAAUAGAGUCCCGUUGUUUGGUUUUUUUAAUGCCAUACUCUGAUUCAUGUUACCUAGGGUAGAAAUAUGAUUUGAAAACUGAGCUAACCUAAUCUAAAUUGUGCUUAUGUACCAUAGUGAUAGGCACUUUAGAUAGAUUAAAAUAUAGGUAUAUGCCAUAUAUUGGUAGUUGGGAAAUGCAUUUUAUUUUCCAGAAAAAAAAUUCAAAGAGAAAAGUUUUCAUUUUUUUGUCAUUUUCCUCCCUGGUUUUCAUUGUAAAACCAACCCUCUCAAAAAUUCAGUUUUGGAAAACUGGAACAUUUUUGCAUUUUGGUUUUUUGUUGUUGUUACGAAAGCCUGAAUUUUCUCAACAAAACCAGUAUUUUUCUCAUAAAAAAUUGUUGAUUUAAAAAGGCAUUUUUUCAUCCAAUUUUUUUUUGAAUGAAAAAUGUUUGACAAGCUCUAAUGCAAGAUAACUGACUAUGGUCAGUACCUGUAGAUAUCCCUAGAUUACCUGGGGAGUAGUAAAACAUUUGUGGACAAUCAACCUGUGGAACUCAUUGCCAGAAGAUGUUGUGAAAACCAAAAGUAUAACUGAGUUUAAAAAAAAAUUCGGUACAUUGAGGGAAAAUAGGUCCAUCAACGGCUAAUAGUCAAGAUGGUCAGGGAUGCAAGCCCGUGCUUUGGGUGUGCCUAAACCUUUCAUUGCCAGGAGCUGGGGCUCAAUGACAGGGGAUGAAUCACUCAAUAAUUGUCCUGUUCUGUUCAUUCUCUCUGAAGUAUCUGGUGCUGACCACUGUUGGAAGACCAGAUACUGGGAUAGAUGGACCAUUGGUCUGACCCAGGAUGUCUGUUCUUAUGAUAUUGUACAUGUUUAUAUACCCAGCUGUCCCUGAGUUCUAGAUGAGCUUAAAGACCAUGUUUAAUGCUGAAAUUGGAAAUAAACAAGGAUCAUCUGAGAGCAAAAGAGUCAGGUGAUAUUGACCAUGAAAUCUCACUAUGUCAUGUAGGGAGUUGUGGGGAAAAAAGGCAAUGUUUGAGCCAUGCAAUGUUAUAUUUCCAAGUUUGAAAGCAAAAAGCCAGGCAGAAAAUUUCAUUACUGUCUCAGACUGUAUUUUACAGUGUGUGGCUGGUAAUGGUGCAGCUGGCUCCCUCCCACUGAAUACCACGUUACAGAUGCCACAUGAUGCCUGACAUGGGGUAGCAGAGAAAAGAAAACCAUGAGUCUAUCCAUGGAGUCACAUUAUAGUCAGAGAAACACUCUAGAGCUUUUCCAUUGACUGCAGUAGCAGCAGACUUUCUCAAGAGACAAAAUGACUAUUCUAAAUUACUGCAGGGCAUAAAUGGCUUCCUGAAAAUACACACACUGCAAGGAGCCUCUCUACCUGGUGCAGAACUGAUGUAAGAGCUCCAUGCGUGUCCUGCUCUCAGCAUCCCUUGCAGGGGUGCAUGGACUGUCCUGCUCUAUGGUUAUUCUCUGCCUGCCAGGGCCCUUAGAAGGUCUUGGGAAAUGGGGUGAAAGAUGGCUCUGGGCUGCUGUAACUUCAACAAGGACAAACAGGCAUCUAUACCUCUCCAGAAUACAGAGAAUCCAAAGGUGUUUUAAAGCUACCUUUGCUCACAUGCUGUAUCUCUACCCCAUGCUCAAGAACAGAGUAACUGAGACUCAAGCUAGUAAUUGUUUAUAAAGAGAUCCAGCUGCAUCCAUCAAAAAGAGUGGAAUUAGCCUUCCUUAUUGGCGUUGAGUUUGGAACUUUCCCCCUUUGGCAUACGCUAUGCUAAGCAACCCAGCAUAACGACGCCCAAAGCUUUGACUGUUGUGCAGUGUUAUUCGUUAAUUGUUUCAGUGUUUCAUAGUUAUUUUUGUUUUGUGGCUAGUUUUUAAAUAAUUCAAAUCCCAAAACAAAACAAGAAGAAAACUGUUUUCCACUUCCUGUGUGUCUGUCUUUCUAGAACACCAGAUCCAAAUCCCUUCCCAUGUUGGGGCUCUAAAUUUUAAUUUUUGGGACCAGGGCAGUGUCUAUAAGAUGGAUGUAACUCUGAACAUGGAAUCCCAGCACUUCCUGAGUACUGGGCAAAUUUUUGUUUUAAUCUGGAUAUACUCCUCUCAUCUCUGGCCCAUCUCUGUAAAAUGCAUUUAAAACAAAAUAUAGGCUUCAACUCACUUUAAACUUUAGGGGAAGAUCUAGAUCUGAACUUCUGAGAUCAGUCCUAUAGACUAAUUUCUCUUAUAGUCAUAGGCCACAAUCUGGCCUGAAGAGAGUGAGACCCAAUCUAUAAUGGAUCAAAUGUGGGGCUAACUUUUGCCACAUGUAUCCCAUACAGUGCAAACUUUGCUUCACAGAUUUGCUGGCUCUUCGCUCACAGAUCCUGGAGGUUACUGGGAGAAGUAGGAUACGAGUAAGACAAUGUCACUCUUUUCCUAAUUCCAUGUUUGUUGAUUGUCCAGUGGGGAAGUGAAUCUACUUUCCACCACUACCUUGCAUGUCUUGUGUCUGACUCUCUUUGAUGGAAGCAGUAUGAAGAGUCUGAAUGCAGCAGGUAACCAUCUAGGGGGCUUGUGGAAAGAUGAUCACACCUUCAACCGGUGAUUUUGGAUGGGAUGUGGCAUCCUCCAAAGACUGUAAACAGCAAGACAAUGUUCAGUACUUCACAGUGGUUCUUAAAUGUGUCGAUUGUUUAACACUCAUGGGCUGCCAUGUGUGUUUAAGGAUAGGGAUUGGAUCAUGAGUAGGGGAGCUACAAUGCAGAGAGAAAAAUGUUGUGUUACUGUGAGCAUGACUGGGCUAAUGCUUGUAUUAAAUCUUUGAGCAUUCCAAGGGCAAUUUCCAGGAUCCUGAGCAAACUCAGGCUGAGCUGCACGCUCCGGUAUUUGUUAAAACCUCUGUGCCUUUUCCUGACCAGCCUGACUCUUGAUUACUUACUAAACAUUACAAGGUGGGUGGGCAGUGAGUCAUUCAAUGUGCCUACAUAUCUAAUACACAGUACAUCGACAUCCAACCUUCUACAGCACCACUGGGGAAGAAACUGCUUGGAGUGACCUGGGCUGAUACUUGAGAUGUAGGAUUUUACUGGAUUUUAGUGGAACAGGAUUUUCUACCAUGUCCGGCUCAGCACAUAACACAAGAAUAUAAACCCAGGAAGUAAUAUGAAGCAGUAUUAUGUGAUAAGGAAAAUUCCCCUUCCGGUACCAAUGGAUCAGUCCAUCAGAUAUUCCAUUGCACAAGCUGACAUGUCUCUUCUAAAAAUAGACAUCUGAACAUUCAGUCAAUGGAGUAAUCCAAUUGACUGAACAUUCUUGGGUGCUUUAUCAUUUAAAUUGCAAUAAAUCACGGUAUGCCACAUGCUGUAUUGAGUUGCAUCAAGUUACACUGCAGCCAAUAACAUGUGGUAACCAGAUGCAAUCGUGUGCCAUGAUGUAACUGCAUUGAAAAUUCAGUGCAUGCACUGUUUUGUCUAAAAGCUGAAAUAAAAUGGCCCUUUUUAAAAUUAGAAAAAUUUUAUUAAAAUCCCUGCUGGUGUCACAUUUUGACUUAAUUGAUAUUUGUCCUUUCUUAUGCUUUAAUUAGUGAGCCCACAUGACCUGUUCCAAAGCCCAUUGACGUCAAUUGAAAGGCUCCUUUUGACUUCAGUGGACUUUGGAUCAGACCCAUAGAGAGAUUUGCAGUAAGAUAUAAAAGAAUCUCUACAGAGCUGUUCUUAGGGCCUCUGGACUUAUGCAAGAAGACUCUCAGCACUUCCUUGGAGAGAAUGUUCUGCAAUCUAACAGCUCUUGCCAUUAGGAAAAUUAUCCUGAUAUUUAGCCUAUUUUUUCCUUUUCUUAACGAAGAGUAAUGGAAUGACAUUAUCCUAUGUCUCUUAGGUACCUCCGAUUACUCAUAAUUACAUCCCUUUGGACCACCUUAAAUAUUUUCUCUCCCUCCUUAGUUUUGCAUCAGAUAUUUGUACAUAAUGGAUGAGCAUAAUCAUAUUGCUUCCAACAUUGUUGUUCCUUAAACAGGAGAGAAACAUCUAAACAUGAUUGGACCUGAUCCUCAGCAGAUGUAAGCCAUUGUAGCCCCAUUGAAUUCAAUGAUGAAAUCGACUUGUGCCCUUAGCUAAAGACUGGUUGCUCUAGAAAGGGACAUGGGGGAGAGAGACUCUUAUGAGGAUGUAAAACCUUUGAAGUCAAUGGAGCUAUGCUGAUUUACACCAGCUGUGAAUCUGGCCCAGUGCAUUAAUAUACUCGUGUAAACCCAAUAUAUUCCACUGACUUCAGUGUGAUGAUAGCAUUUACAGUGGUGUGAAUGAAACCAGACUCAUGCAUCCUUAGUGGAAUUGUAGGUUGACCUACUGUUGGGGUCAAGAAUCAGAGAGAAGGGGGGAAAUGAGAUCUGGUCACCUUCCCCAUUAUAGGAUCCUUCCAAAGGAGGCACUUUAGAUGAUGGGGAAAA